UACGGAGGGUGCAAGCGUUAAUCGGAAUUACUGGGCGUAAAGCGCACGCAGGUGGCUGAGCGAGUCGAUUGUGAAAGCCCUGGGCUUAACCUGGGAAUUGCAGUCGAUACUACUCAGCUAGAGUAUGGGAGAGGGUAGUGGAAUUCCCGGUGUAGCGGUGAAAUGCGUAGAUAUCAGGAAGAACACCCGUGGCGAAAGCGGCUCUCUGGAACGGUACUGACGCUGAGACGCGAAAGCGUGGGGAGCGAACAGG
rnacentral:rRNA from 1 species